AAAGAUUUAUCGCUGAAGGAUCGGCCCGCGUCUGAUUAGCUAGUUGGUGAGGUAACGGCUCACCAAGGCGACGAUCAGUAGCUGGUCUGAGAGGAUGAUCAGCCUCACUGGGACUGAGACACGGCCCAGACUCCUACGGGAGGCAGCAGUGGGGAAUAUUGGACAAUGGGCGCAAGCCUGAUCCAGCCAUGCCGCGUGGGUGAUGAAGGCCCUAGGGUUGUAAAGCCCUUUCGGCGGGGAAGAUAAUGACGGUACCCGCAGAAGAAGCCCCGGCUAACUUCGUGCCAGCAGCCCGCGGUAAUACCAAGGGGGCUAGCGUUGCUCGGAAUCACUGGGCGUAAAGCGCACGUAGGCGGCUUUUUAAGUCAGGGGUGAAAUCCUGGAGCUCAACUCCAGAACUGCCUUUGAUACUGAGAAGCUUGAGUCCGGAAAAGUGCGUGGAACUGC
rnacentral:rRNA from 1 species